AGGCGGCGCCGCUCUUCACGCCUCUUUGGUGAAACAGAAGCACUUAAUUUAUUCUAAUUUGAUUUGACCUGCAUGAACUUGACACUCCGUAACGCUCGGUCUGAAGGAGGAGAGGACACCAAGUCUGAUAUCGAAGGGCUACAGACAAAGUCAGCGAUUAGACACGAGCCGGUGUUACGUUCACCCAAACACAUUAAAGCCUGUGUAAGAUAAUGCCUCUAUUAAUUAAUGGAGGGUGAAACAUAAUUAGCUUGGGCCGUCGCCGGCACGGCUCCAUUAGACGGGCGAUGUAGGAAUGGAAGUGCUCUCGUGGGCGGCUGUCGGUGUAAAUGUGCUGUUGUAUAUGUAUGCUGAGUGUGAGUGUGUGUGAAUCAGGCUAUUUGUGAGUGUGUUGGGGCUGAGAGCCCUUGAGAGAGUGUGUAGGCAGGGGUCCACACACACACACACACACACACACACACACACGGGGGUGGAGAGGUUUAUGGAGUUAAGCCUGUUCAACGCCUGCAGAUUGAUCACUUGUGUGAAUAAGAGAGAAAGAAACACGUGUGUGUGUGUGUGUGUGUGUGUAUGUGAGAGAGAGAGACACUUAAUAGAACGAGUGAUUUUAUAUCACAGUGAGAAAUACGUCUGCAUUUAGAAUGCAGCUCACUUCAGAUCAUGCCAGUAAAGGACAAGCAUAGGAAAGAAAAAAAAGAGGACAGGGAAAGAAAGAAGAAAAAUGUGGAAAAUAAAUGGAGUGCUGACAUCUCAGAGUCAAGAGCUGGAAACACUGCAAGAGACAGAACACAGAUUAAUGUGCGGCUUUAUGAAGAUGGACUGAUGGAGGAGAUCAGAAACACUCGCAGACCUGAUCAACACUACAGAUCAAAUCUCUGACAUAUAUAUCAAUAUAUAUCAAUCAUAUGAAUAUGUAAUCAGAGUUUAAACUCGUGUGUUUUCUCUCUAGUUUCUGCAGCAGACGUUCAAGUCGCAAACAGGCGCGUGCACGUGAAUGAAGGUAAAUGUUUCUUUCUUUCUGUUCAUCGACAAGAUCCGUGUAUCUUCUGAACUUCAUUACUGUUUAUUAUUAAAACAGUGACGGGCUCGAGCUGCACCGAAUACAGCAGCUGUAUGAAGAUGAUAGCGGUUCUGUAGAAUCUUUCGGUUAAACUCGCCGGUAACGGAACUAUAGUUCGUCGAGUUCGCUUGUGUUUGUUGAGCGCAUGAUGGUUAACAUGUUGUGAUGUCUAGUCUAGUGCACUAACUAGCUUUGCCAUCUAAACAUCCGGACGCUUCGGCGAGUGAGAAACUGACUCAAAAUGCUGUCAGGAAACGUUUCACGGUAAAAAUAAUAAUAAUAAUAAUAAUAAUAAUAAUAAUAAUAAUGCUGGUUUUACAGCCGUGUGUCCACUUCUUUUCAACACAGUUGUUUAUGAAUCAUUUAUUAAACCAGCAAUAAUCACAGUCUGUCUUCAAGCUGAAGGUAUGUUUCGUUUGAUUUGAUUUGAAGUAAUUACGUAAACUCUUGUACAAUUCAUAGCUCAUAACCUGCUAAUAUCAACACCUGAUCAAAAUUUUCUUUAUGACAAUUCAGCAGAUGAAAAUCAGUUUAAAAGCAUUCUGCAUUACACUUUAUUUUAAGGUGUCCUUGUUACAGUGUAGUUAUACAAUUAACGAGUGAUAUUAAUUAACUACAUGUACUUACUAUAUGGUUAGGGUUAGGAUUAGGGUUUGGUUUAGGGUUACUUGCAUGUAAUUAAGCAUAAUUAAGUGUAAUUAUAAUAGCAUGUACAUAUAACGUGUAACAAGAACACCUUAAAAUAAAGUGUUACCAAAUUCUGUGGCCUAAAUGCA
ensembl:lncRNA